rnacentral:rRNA from 1 species
AUUGCACGCUGGCGGCAGGCCUAACACAUGCAAGUCGAACGAGUGGCGGACGGGUGUGUAAUGUCUGGGAAACUGCCUGAUGGCGGGGGAUAACUACUGGAAACGGUCGCUAAUCCCGCAUACCAUCGGAUGUGCCCAGAUGGGAUUAGCUUGUAGGUGGGGUAAAGGCUCCCCGAGGCGACGAUCCCUAGCUGGUCUGAGAGGAUGACCAGCCACACUGGAACUGAGACACGGUCCAGACUCCUACGGGAGGCAGCAGUGGGGAAUAUUGCACAAUGGGCGCAAGCCUGAUGCAGCCAUGCCGCGUGUAUGAAGAAGGCCGUAGGGUUGUAAAGUACUUUCAGCGGGGAGGCGUUACCCGCAGAAGAAGCACCGGCUAACUCCGUGCCAGCAGCCGCGGUAAUUC